rnacentral:rRNA from 1 species
UUGAAAGGGAAACGAUUGAAGUCAGUCGUACCGACGAGAAAUCAGCUUAUCGUGUGUUAACUUGUGGGCGUGCGUGAGUUUCGGCCUCGCUGUUUGCAUGUUUGUGCGCUUUGGGUGUACUUAAUCGUAUGGUAGGCCAACAUCAGUUUCGAUCACUAUAAAUUGACUGGCGGAAUGUAGCUUCGAUUUCGGUUGAAGUGUUAUAGCCUCUGGUAGGUGUGGUAAUUGGGACUGAGGAUUGCAACGAAUAUCCUUUGGGCUAUCCGUCUGGCCUCUGAAAGUUGCUUGGGUGCUGAAAGCUUGCUUAUGGUUAUCUAAGUUAACGGUCAAUAGGUUAGAACGUGAUUACAUUCGUUAAGGAUGUUGACGUA